AGAGUUCGAUUCUGGCUCAGAUUGAACGCUGGCGGCAUGCUUUACACAUGCAAGUCGAACGGCAGCGCGGGGCAACCUGGCGGCGAGUGGCGAACGGGUGAGUAAUACAUCGGAACGUACCCAGAAGUGGGGGAUAACGUAGCGAAAGUUACGCUAAUACCGCAUACGAUCUACGGAUGAAAGUGGGGGACCUUCGGGCCUCAUGCUUUUGGAGCGGCCGAUGUCUGAUUAGCUAGUUGGUGAGGUAAAGGCUCACCAAGGCGACGAUCAGUAGCUGGUCUGAGAGGACGACCAGCCACACUGGGACUGAGACACGGCCCAG
rnacentral:rRNA from 1 species